rnacentral:rRNA from 1 species
GCUAAUCGAGAGGAUAGUUGGAGCGCUUAGAAGUGAGAAUGCCGGUAUGAGUAGCGAAAGAUAGGUGAGAAUCCUAUCCGCCGAAAGACUAAGGUUUCCUGGGGCAGGCUCGUCCGCCCAGGGUAAGUCGGGACCUAAGGCAAGGCCGAGAGGCGUAGUCGAUGGAUAACAGGUAGAGAUUCCUGUACUGUGUUCAAUCGUUAUGAGCAAUGGAGGGACGCAGGAGGCGAAACACGCAUCGAGCUGGAUCGAUGUUCAAGCAGCGAGUGCGGUUAAGAGUCAAAUGCUUCUAACCAGCAACAUGAGCUGUGAUGAGUAGCGAAGUAAAAGUAGCGAAGGUGAUGUAGUCACACUGCCAAGAAAAGCUUCUAGCCAGAGAGAACAUACCCGUACCGCAAACCGACACAGGUAGUCGAGUGGAGAACACUAAGGUGAGCGAGAGAACUCUCGUUAAGGAACUCGGCAAAAUGACCCCGUAACUUCGGAAGAAGGGGUGCUGGCCAUGAGAGUGGUUAGCCGCAGUGAAUAGGCCCAAACAACUGUUUAUCAAAAACACAGGUCUCUGCAAAAUCGUAAGAUGACGUAUAGAGGCUGACACCUGCCCGGUGCUGGAAGGUUAAGAGGAGAGCUUAGCGCAAGCGAAGGUUUGAAUUGAAGCCCCAGUAAACGGCGGCCGUAACUAUAACGGUCCUAAGGUAGCGAAAUUCCUUGUCGGGUAAGUUCCGACCUGCACGAAAGGUGUAAUGAUUUGGGCACUGUCUCAACGAGAGACUCGGUGAAAUUAUAAUACCCGUGAAGAUGCGGGUUACCCGCGACAGGACGGAAAGACCCCAUGGAGCUUCACUGUAGCUUGAUAUUGAGUAUCUUUUAAACAUGUACAGGAUAGGUAGGAGCCAAGGAAUGCAGGACGCUAGUCUUGCAGGAGGCAAUGUUGGGAUACUACCCUUGUUUGAAGGAUGCUCUAACCUCGACCUGUAAGCCAGGCCAGGGACAGUGUCAGGUGGGCAGUUUGACUGGGGCGGUCGCCUCCUAAAGUGUAACGGAGGCGCCCAAAGGUUCCCUCAGAAUGGUUGGAAAUCAUUCGCAGAGUGUAAAGGUAUAAGGGAGCUUGACUGCGAGAGAGACAACUCGAGCAGGGACGAAAGUCGGGCUUAGUGAUCUGGUGGUACCGUAUGGAAGGGCCAUCACUCAACGGAUAAAAGCUACCCUGGGGAUAACAGGCUUAUCUCCCCCAAGAGUUCACAUCGACGGGGAGGUUUGGCACCUCGAUGUCGGCUCGUCGCAUCCUGGGGCUGAAGUCGGUCCCAAGGGUUGGGCUGUUCGCCCAUUAAAGCGGCACGCGAGCUGGGUUCAGAACGUCGUGAGACAGUUCGGUCCCUAUCCGUCGUGGGCGUAGGAAAUUUGAGAGGAGCUGUCCUUAGUACGAGAGGACCGGGAUGGACGCACCGCUGGUGUACCAGUUGUUCCGCCAGGAGCAUCGCUGGGUAGCUAUGUGCGGAAGGGAUAAGCGCUGAAAGCAUCUAAGUGCGAAGCCCCCCUCAAGAUGAGAUUUCCUUUGCGUAAGCAGUAAGACACCUCAGAGACGAUGAGGUAGAUAGGCUGGGAGUGGAAGUUCUGUGAAGAAUGGAGCGGACCAGUACUAAUCAGUCGAGGACUUGACC